AUUACAUUAACCUAGUAACGAUAAUCAUCAUGGAUCUCUGGUUAUAAACAGGCUCUUGCAUAAAAAAGGAAAGCGCUACCGUAAAGGUAAAGAAGGAAUAAUUCUAGUAAACUAUUUUUUUGUGAACAGAGUCUGAGUAUUGAAUAUAACUUCAUUAGAACUAAUCCAAAAACGAUAAGCAGACUGACAAAUCAAGUACUGGGCAUCGCAA
rnacentral:lncRNA from 1 species